rnacentral:rRNA from 1 species
GAUGAACGCUAGCGGCAGGCCUAAUACAUGCAAGUCGGACGGCAGCAUUGCACUUCGGUGCAGAUGGCGAGUGGCGCACGGGUGCGUAACGCGUAUGCAACCUACCCAUGACAGGGGGAUAGCCCAGGGAAACUUGGAUUAAUACCGCAUGAAGCGGAUUGUGCCGCAUGGCACGUUCCGCCAAAAGAGCGAUCUGGUCAUGGAUGGGCAUGCGUCCCAUUAGCUUGUUGGCGGGGUAACGGCCCACCAAGGCGAUGAUGGGUAGGGGUUCUGAGAGGAAGGUCCCCCACACUGGCACUGAGAUACGGGCCAG